rnacentral:rRNA from 1 species
AACGAACGCUGGCGGCAUGCCUAACACAUGCAAGUCGAACGAAGGCUUCGGCCUUAGUGGCGCACGGGUGCGUAACGCGUGGGAAUCUGCCCUUAGGUUCGGAAUAACAGCUGGAAACGGCUGCUAAUACCGGAUGAUGACGAAAGUCCAAAGAUUUAUCGCCUGAGGAUGAGCCCGCGUUGGAUUAGGUAGUUGGUGGGGUAAAGGCCUACCAAGCCGACGAUCCAUAGCUGGUCUGAGAGGAUGAUCAGCCACACUGGGACUGAGACACGGCCCAGACUCCUACGGGAGGCAGCAGUGGGGAAUAUUGGACAAUGGGCGAAAGCCUGAUCCAGCAAUGCCGCGUGAGUGAUGAAGGCCCUAGGGUUGUAAAGCUCUUUUACCCGGGAAGAUAAUGACUGUACCGGGAGAAUAAGCCCCGGCUAACUCCGUGCCAGCAGCCGCGGUAAUACGGAGGGGGCUAGCGUUGUUCGGAAUUACUGGGCGUAAAGCGCACGUAGGCGGCUUUGUAAGUCAGAGGUGAAAGCCUGGAGCUCAACUCCAGAACUGCCUUUGAGACUGCAUCGCUUGAAUCCAGGAGAGGUCAGUGGAAUUCCGAGUGUAGAGGUGAAAUUCGUAGAUAUUCGGAAGAACACCAGUGGCGAAGGCGGCUGACUGGACUGGUAUUGACGCUGAGGUGCGAAAGCGUGGGGAGCAAACAGG